GAAGAAUUUUAUGCAAUUAACCUUGGAGAUUAUGUUCUAGCGUUCAUAGCCUAACGUCACAGGAUUGCACUUCAUCUCUUCGUCCAGUAGUUAAUUUCUUCAUUACCGAGAAGCUUAGACAAAUCCUCGAGUCUUCAAUGUGUCGAAUUGCAAGAGAUUCAGGGUAUAGUCUUCUUGUAUCUCACACCUGUCAUCCGGCAUUGCACGA